rnacentral:snRNA from 1 species
GGAAUGCAGCCCCAAUCGGG